GACGAACGCUGGCGGCGUGGAUUAGGCAUGCAAGUCGAACGGUAGGAUACCUUCGGGUAUCUGAGAGUGGCGAACGGGUGAGUAACACGUAGGUGAUCUACCCUCAAGAUUGGGACAACCCAGGGAAACUUGGGCUAAUACCGGAUGAAAGCAGCAGUGAUGUUGUUUGAAAGGUGGCGUAAGCUGCCGUUUGGGGAUGAGCCUGCGCUCUAUUAGUUAGUUGGCGGGGUAAAGGCCCACCAAGGCGAUGAUAGAUAGGCGGCCUUAACGGGUGGUCGCCCACACUGGGAUUGAGAUACGGCCCAGACUCCUACGGGAGGCAGCAGUCGAGAAUAGUCUACAAUGGCCGAAAGGCUGAUAGUGCGACGCCGCGUGAACGAAGAAGCCCUUCGGGGUGUAAAGUUCUUUUAUAUGUGAGCAGUGCUUUCUAUGUGAACAGCAUGGGGAAGAGAUAUUAGCAAUACGUAUAAAGUACGAACGAACGUAACUAACCGUCGUCGACGA
rnacentral:rRNA from 1 species